GUAUUAGUAAUAUAAUGUAAUCGAUAUAGAUUUAAUGUUUAUCUACUAUAAAUUGUAGUAUAAGCAAGUAUAUAAAGAAACUAUUAGGAAUACCUUGCUAUAUAUUAAAGAGAGUAAUAUUUUAAAUUGUGUAAAAAUACUUAACACAUGAACUCUUAGAUAAAUUCAGUAAUAAACGAAGUGAAUUGAAACAUCUUAGUAGCUUUAGGAAAAGAAAUCAAACGAGAUUCUACAAUUAGUGUGAAUUAAAGUAGAAGAGCCUAGAGUAUUAAAAGGAGAUAAGGGAUAACUAAAUCUCUGUUAAUACUUUAAAUAAGUAGAACGGGCUAUAAACCUGUUUGAAUGUUAAGGGGAACCUUCCUCUAAGGCUAAAUAUAAUAUAUAAGCGACAGCGUAUAGUUCUGUGAAGGAAAGGUUUGAAUUAGUAGUUUUAUAAGCAGCUCAAGCAAAGUUUAAAUACAUAGUGAGAGCGUACCUUUUGCAUAAUGGGUCAGUAAGUUAAUGUUAGAUGCGAGCAGCAAUGCCUAGAUAAACCAAUUAUGAAAUAAUGAAUUAGUAUCUAAAAUUAGACCCGAAGCCUGGUGAUCUUACCAUAGUCAGGGUUAUAAAAGCCCGAACGGGUUAUCGUUGUAAAGAUAUCCGAUGAACUGUGGUAAGUUAGUGAAAGACAAAACUGACCAGGAUAGCUGGUUUUCUGCGAAACCUAUAGAAGUAGGUAAUUUAAGUUACAUCAUAGCAGGUACAGAACUGUGAUCUCAGGCAACUUUAAUAGAUAAUAUAUUUAUUUGUGUUAUUUAUUAUUUUUGUAUAUAUCGGGGGAUCGUGAAGAUUUUAUCGGUGAGUAUUCGCACUCGGAAGGGCAAUGAUGAAUAUUAAAUAAUCAGACAUAGUACGCUAAGGUUGUAUGUCUAAAGGGAAACAGCCCAGAACAAGAGUUAAGGUUCCAAAAUUAAUAUUAAGUGAAAUUAAGGAAGUUUCUAUCUAAUACGACUAGGAAAUAGGCUUAGAAGCGGCCAUUUUUUGAAGACCUCGUAACAGAGCACUGGUUCAGUAAAUAGUUUACUAUUUACAUUGAUAGUGGCACCGAAAAUUUAACGGAUCUAAAUAAUAUACCGACACCUUGUCCAUAUUAAAACAUAAUAUUAUAUAAUAUGGGGUAGCGGAACGUUGGGUAAAUUUUAGACUAUUUCUUAAAAAGAUUUAGGAAUAAAUGACCCAAGUGACAAUGCUGACAUGAGUAACGAAAAAGGGGGUUUACCCCCCUCGCCUAAAGCUUAUGGAUUUUUUAAAGUAACGGCCUCUAAGUUUAUAAACCUAAAGGAUUAAACGAUGAGAAAAUCUUGUCUACAAAGUAACAACCUUUUAUAAGAAAAAGAGAUUAAGAUGUUUCGUCUUAUUAUCUUUUUCUUAAGUGAAUAAGGUUCUGGAAAAACAGUAAAAACCUUUAAUAGUAAAUAUCUUAAAAAUAUUAAUUAUAAAGGCGACAUAAUAACCGUACCUAGAGUCUACCACAAGUAAGCAAGUAGAGUAUACGAAGGCGUUUGAGUGAACAAUCAUUAAGGAACUCGGCAAACUAACUACCGUAACUUAGGGAUAAGGAGAGCCAUUCCUCCUGAUUAAUAUCAGGUAAAGAAUAGGAAGCAUGGAAUAGUGUUGUACGACUGUUUAAUUAAAACAAAGCACUCUGCAGUAAGAUAAUAAAUCAAAGUAUUGAGUGUGAUUUCUGCCCGAUGUCGGCUGGUUAACGGAUUUGUUAAGUUGACUAAUAUAAGCUUGACUUUGAAGGAAACCCCGAUCAAUGGCGGCCUUAUUUUGAGGGUCCUAAGGUAGCGGAAUACCCUGGCCGUUAAAUGCGGUCUUGCAUGAAUGAUUUAACGAUACAACAGCUGUCUCAAUGAUUGGCUCAGUGAAAUUGGAAUAACUGUGCAGAUACAGUUUACCUCUAGUUAGACGAGAAGACCCUAUGCAGCUUUACUGUUGCUAGUUAUUGGAUAUGAUUGAAUUAAUUUUAGUAGUAUAAGGUAAUUGGUUAGAUAUAAUUGAAAUACCUUUAUUUUGUUUGUCAUAUUGAUAGAUUUAAUCUAUUUUCUUAUUUAAAGAUAGGAAAUUACCCCUACUAUGUUAGGGGAACAAUGGCUAGGAGGCAGUUUAUGCGGGGCACAGAUCCCAUAAAAAGUACCUGGGUGUAUCCAAAGUUAAUUUUGUAAAAUUGACAUGACUUACUUCUAAAUAUAUUAUUUGGAAAUAAGUUUUCAUGACUAACAAUACAUUAUAUAUAUAAUGUAUUUAUUUUUAGUUUGUUAUUUGGUAUAGCUUAUGCUAUAACUAAUCCAGCUAUUUAUCUAUUAAGUUAGAAAUAUUUUUUUAUCCAAGUAAGAUUUUAUCUAUAUGGAAAAUAGAUGUAAUUAAAACAUUGAAGUAGAUAUCUUUCCAAUGUUUUUAAUUUUUUAUUAGGUGUAUUUGGUGAAACCAAACUACAAAUUGCUAAUAAGAUAAUUAUGUUUAUUACUUGUCAAGUUUAAUGGCUUAAUCUUGCUUUACUGUUUGACUUACACGUCUAUCAGUCGCGUAAGCGGGGCAUAUGAUCACAAGAUGCAGAAAGGAAAGGUCUUGGAUUUAUGAAAAAGCUACGCUAGGGAUGUUAGUCCUCCAAUGUUUAAGUCUACUAAUAUUUAAUAUUGGUUAAUAUGACUUAAACUCAUUGGCAAUUUAUUGGGUUAAUUUCAAGAAUAACUUUGUCUGAGGACUUAGUAUACUUGAAGCGAACUUUACUUUAGCAUAAUUACCUUAAUAAGGUAUUAAAAGUAAAACCGUUCAACGACUAGAAAGUGAGUUAU
rnacentral:rRNA from 1 species